UGGUGCAUGGUUGUCGUCAGCUCGUGUCGUGAGAUGUUGGGUUAAGUCCCGCAACGAGCGCAACCCCUGUCUCAUGUUGCCAGCACGUUAUGGUGGGGACUCGUGAGAGACUGCCGGGGUCAACUCGGAGGAAGGUGGGGAUGACGUCAAAUCAUCAUGCCCCUUAUGUCUAGGGCUUCACACAUGCUACAAUGGCUAGUACAGAGGGCUGCGAUACCGUGAGGUGGAGCGAAUCCCUUAAAGCUGGUCUCAGUUCGGAUUGGGGUCUGCAACUCGACCCCAUGAAGUCGGAGUCGCUAGUAAUCGCAGAUCAGCAACGCUGCGGUGAAUACGUUCCCGGGCCUUGUACACACCGCCCGUCACGUCAUGAAAGUCGGUAACACCCGAAGCCGGUGGCCUAACCCCCUUGUGGGGAGGGAGCCGUCGAAGGUGGGAUCGGCGAUUGGGACG
rnacentral:rRNA from 1 species